GCGCUCGUGGUCUAAUGGCUCAUGAUUCUAGCCUUCCAAGCUGGAGGUAGGGGUUCGAUUCCCCUCGGGCGCA
rnacentral:tRNA from 1 species